AAAGACCCUGACCUUAUCUCCAUUCCCAUCAACUUUAAAUAUUCAACCGACCGUCCCUAGAGCAAGUGGCAAAGAGCUUGGUGGUUGGUAUCCGAGACCCAAAUUCGAAUCCUAGUUGAUUUACAUUUCCAGCUAAAUUUAUUUUUAAAUGAAAUAAACGAAAUGGAUAGCGUGCUACCUAUCUCUCAAAAAAAAAAAAAAAAACACUUUAAAUGCUCACCUAUAUAUAGCCCAUCAUAUUUCUCCUCUCCAA
rnacentral:lncRNA from 1 species